AGAACCUUACCUAGACUUGACAUCCCGGGAUUUUCUGGAAACAGAGAAGUGCUUUAGCAAUAAAGAACCCGGUGACAGGUGCUGCAUGGCUGUCGUCAGCUCGUGUCGUGAGAUGUUGGGUUAAGUCCCGCAACGAGCGCAACCCUCGCCUUUAGUUGCCAGCAUUCAGUUUGGGCACUCUAGAGGGGACUGCCGGUGUCAAACCGGAGGAAGGUGGGGAUGACGUCAAGUCCUCAUGGCCUUUAUGUCUAGGGCUACACACGUACUACAAUGGCCGGUACAAAGGGCAGCCACUUAGCGAUAAGGCGCGAAUCCCGUAAAACCUGUCUCAGUCCGGAUUGGAGUCUGCAACUCGACUCCAUGAAGUUGGAAUCGCUAGUAAUCGCAGAUCAGCACGCUGCGGUGAAUACGUUCCCGGGCCUU
rnacentral:rRNA from 1 species